GGAAGUUGAACGGGAACGGCUUCUUCGGAAACUUAGUAGAGUGGCGCACGGGUGAGUAACGCGUAAGUAAUCUACCCUGAUAUCUGGGAUAACAAUUCGAAAGGAUUGCUAAUACCGGAUACGUUGAUUUAUCAAGAAAGAUGGCCUCUUCAUGAAAGCUAUUGUAUCGGGAGGAGCUUGCGUACCAUUAGCUAGUUGGUGGGGUAAUGGCCUACCAAGGCGACGAUGGUUAACGGGUCUGAGAGGAUGAUC
rnacentral:rRNA from 1 species